UACGGAGGGUGCAAGCGUUGUUCGGAAUUACUGGGCGUAAAGCGCGCGUAGGCGGCUUUUUAAGUUGGGAGUGAAAUCCCGGGGCUUAACUCCGGAAUUGCUUUCAAAACUAUUAAGCUAGAGUAUGGCAGGGGACAGUGGAAUUCUUAGUGUAGAGGUGAAAUUCGUAGAUAUUAAGAGGAACACCAGUGGCGAAAGCGACUGUCUGGACCAUUACUGACGCUGAGGCGCGAAAGCGUGGGGAGCAAACAGG
rnacentral:rRNA from 1 species